AGAAAAAAAUAACCUAAAUGUCAAGUAACUAAAAUAUGGAUAGAAAAUUGUCAUAAUCAUUGACUAGCAAGAAAAAUUUGAGCUACAUAAACAUGCAUGAAUCUUGCAGCAAAAGUAGUUGCAGAACACCACAUAUGCACAUCAUUUACAGAUUUAAAACCAUACACACAAUAUUAUAUUUGAAUGAUGUAUAAAUACGUAGUAUAACUAUGAAGAAACAAUGGGAAGGCCAGAGGGUAGACACAAAUGGGGAAGGAAGUCAAAUGGCAGCGGCCCUGCUUAUAUUUAAGCUGGGUGGUGGGUACACAAGUGUUCACUGUAUUAUUUCUGACUUUUGUGUCAGAAAAAUUAUUAUGAAUUAAAAAUAGCUAAAGAAUGCAAAAUGGAGACAACUCUUUUGGGAAACUUUACUAUGAAUAGCAGAGUCAAGAGAGGGUUAUUUAGAGACAAGGUCUUGCUCUGUUGUCCAGGCUGGAGUGCAGUGGCGCAAUUGCGGCUCACUACAGCCUUGACUUCCCAGGUUCAAGCGAGCCUCUCACCUUAGCCUCCCAAAGUGCUGGGAUUACAGGCAUGAGUCACUCUGCCUGGCUGAGUUUGUUUAAAAUAUGAAAUAUGCCCCUGAUAUUUUUUCUUUUUUUGAGAUGGAGUUUUCACCCUGUCACCCAGGAUGGAGUGCAGUAGUGCAAUCUCGGUUCACCGCAACUUCCACCUCUCAGGUUCAUGCAAGUCUCGUGCCUCAGCCUCCUGAGUAGCUGGGCUUACAGGCACCCGCCAGCACACUCAGUUAAUCUUUGUAUUUUUAGUAGAGACGAGGUUUCACCAUGUUGGACGGGCUGGUCUCAAAUUCCUGACCUCAAGUCAUCCGCCUGCCUCGGCCUCCCAAAGUGGCUGGGAUUAUAGGCAUGAACCACCGCACCUGGACUACUGCCCCUGAUACUCUUAACCAAGGAUUUCUACCUGCCUUCUACCCACAAGGUGCUCCCUAAGCAGCACUAGAGGCCUCAAUUUUCCUGACCAGCUCAAAGAUAAACGGACAGAAUAACUCCCACUGCUCAAGCAUGGGCUGCACACACUAUUGUAGAGAAACCGGAUAAGUAGUUGAGGCCAACUUCAGCAGCCAUAAAGCACACAGACAGCAGGUAUCCUUGAUAUGAGGACAACAACAUUUUACCUUGGGGAUAUCGCUCCAAAAACCCAUUUGCCAGUCAUAAUAAGAAAAAACAGCAAAUUCCAAUAGAAAGCAACUUGCAAUAUACCUGACCAGCAUCAGCAUUCUCAGCACCCUCAAGAGCAAGGAGUCUGAGAAAAUGGCACAGCCAAGAGGAGAAUAAGAAAACAUGACGACUAAACGUACUGUAGACUCCCUGAACAGAAAAAGAAAUUAAGCCUCGAUUCUAUCUUGGCAAUAUCUUGAGCUCUUCAGAAGUGACAGAAUCUCUGAUAUUUAUUGUCUAGUUUUAAAACACUGCCACAGAUGGGGUAAUCAAGCAUCUACCUGGCAAAGUUUUCUUCUUCCUAGCAUAUAGCUAUGACCAUAAAUGUGUAACUUACUGAAAUCUUUAAAAGGAGCCAGAAAAAGCUUGCCCAGAGAGAUUGGUAAAGAUUUCCUAAAAGAGUGGUGUCACUUGAGCUAAGUCAGCCCCUGCAGACGCAGAGAGCAGGGGAUGUAUGCGGGCUGGGGUGGUUUAUAUAGGAAGCAAGAAAGGAUGGGAAAUAAGGCCACAGGGGCAGGUUGGGGGCCAGACCACAAAAAGCCUUUUGUGCUAUACCAAGGCUUUUGAUUUAUCCUGCAGACAACAUGGAACAAAUGGUUUUUUUUGUUUUUUGUUCGUUUUUUUUUUUGAGACGGAGUCUUGCUCUGUCACCCAGGCUGGAGUGCAGUGGUGCUAUCUCAGCUCACUGCAAGCUCCACCUCCCGGAUUCACAACAUUCUCCUGCCUCAGCCUCCCGAGUUAGCUGGGACUACAGGCGCCCGCCACCACACCCGGCUAAUUUUUUUGUAUUUUUAGUAAUGAAGAAACAAUGGGAAGGCCAGAGGGUAGACACAAAUGGGGAAGGAAGUCAAAUGGCAGCGGCCCUGCUUAUAUUUAAGCUGGGUGGUGGGUACACAAGUGUUCACUGUAUUAUUUCUGACUUUUGUGUCAGAAAAAUUAUUAUGAAUUAAAAAUAGCUAAAGAAUGCAAAAUGGAGACAACUCUUUUGGGAAACUUUACUAUGAAUAGCAGAGUCAAGAGAGGGUUAUUUAGAGACAAGGUCUUGCUCUGUUGUCCAGGCUGGAGUGCAGUGGCGCAAUUGCGGCUCACUACAGCCUUGACUUCCCAGGUUCAAGCGAGCCUCUCACCUUAGCCUCCCAAAGUGCUGGGAUUACAGGCAUGAGUCACUCUGCCUGGCUGAGUUUGUUUAAAAUAUGAAAUAUGCCCCUGAUAUUUUUUCUUUUUUUGAGAUGGAGUUUUCACCCUGUCACCCAGGAUGGAGUGCAGUAGUGCAAUCUCGGUUCACCGCAACUUCCACCUCUCAGGUUCAUGCAAGUCUCGUGCCUCAGCCUCCUGAGUAGCUGGGCUUACAGGCACCCGCCAGCACACUCAGUUAAUCUUUGUAUUUUUAGUAGAGACGAGGUUUCACCAUGUUGGACGGGCUGGUCUCAAAUUCCUGACCUCAAGUCAUCCGCCUGCCUCGGCCU
rnacentral:lncRNA from 1 species